GUAUUCUCUUGGUGAUAUUUGCAUCUAUGGCUUCUCACUUCUUUCCUAAUUUUUGUAUCUCCAGAGUUGUCUCCCUUUGUGAUUUGUUUAUUGUUUCUACUUCAAUUUUUAUAUCCUGGAUGGUUUUGUUCAAUUCUUUCACCUGUUUGGAUGAGUUUUCCUGUACUUCUUUAAGGAAUUUUUGUGUUUACUCUUUAUGGGCUUCUACCUGUUUACCUGUGUUCUCCUGUAAUUCUUUAAGGGAGUUAUUUAAUGUCCUUUUUAUAGUCUUCCCUUAUCAUUAUGAGAAGUGACUUUAGAUCCAUAUCUUGUUUUUCUGGUGUGAUGUUGUAUCCAGGAAUUGCUAUGGGGGGAGAGUUGUGUUCUGAUGAUGCCAAGUAACCUUGGUUUCUGUUGCUUCUGUUCUUAUGCUUGCCUCCUGCCAUCUGAUUAUCUCAAGUGCUCCCUGCCCUCAAUAUUUGAAGAACAGAUUUGAACCUGUCCUUCCUGUAAUCCCAUUUGAGUCAGAAGUUCUCAGAGUCCAGUUUUCUCUAUGAUCCUGUGAUUUUGGGAUCCUGUGAUGCUGAGAUUCUUGGUGUGUCAGUGUUCUUGGCUGUCACGCUUCCUCUUAGAUGCUGAGAUCCUGGUGUAACCAAGCUCUUGGAAUCCUUGGAUCCUAAGAUCCUGGGCUUGUUAGAGCACCUGGAAAUGGUAUUGCCUCUGGGGACCAUGGGAAUGUCAGCUGGGUUUCAAAACAAGUUAGACCAGUGCUGCCUGGAAGUAACCUGAGCUACUAGUUGGGUGGGGGUCCCUGUGUCCCUGUUCCUGCUGGCUCCAGGCACUCCCCAUUCUGUUGGAACAGAUAUUGUGUUCUACUCACCAGUGAUCCUAAGACCAUGGGCAUUCUAGGGCGCCUGUGGGGGGGGGGUGUGUGUGUGGUGUGUGGAGCGUCCUCUGGGGACCAUGGGACUGUCCGCUGAGUUCACUCCCAGGGUGGCCAGGUGCUGGUGCUGACCAGAAGGAACCCAAGCCACUGAUCAGAGGUCAUGAGGAAUCAAGUUCUACCUCUGGUAAAAAGCCUCUUGCUCCCAGAAGAAAGUCAAGUAGGAACAUACACCUUUGAAUGACAUCUCGCCAUUUACUGAAGUUAUCAUCAUCAGAUCUGUGCUACCUACCCAUUAAAACUUGUCUGGACAUUUUUAAACCUCAA